rnacentral:rRNA from 1 species
AGAGUUUGAUCAUGGCUCAGAUUGAACGCUGGCGGCAGGCCUAACACAUGCAAGUCGAGCGGUAGCACAGAGAGCUUGCUCUCGGGUGACGAGCGGCGGACGGGUGAGUAAUGUCUGGGAAACUGCCUGAUGGAGGGGGAUAACUACUGGAAACGGUAGCUAAUACCGCAUAACGUCGCAAGACCAAAGUGGGGGACCUUCGGGCCUCAUGCCAUCAGAUGUGCCCAGAUGGGAUUAGCUAGUAGGUGGGGUAACGGCUCACCUAGGCGACGAUCCCUAGCUGGUCUGAGAGGAUGACCAGCCACACUGGAACUGAGACACGGUCCAGACUCCUACGGGAGGCAGCAGUGGGGAAUAUUGCACAAUGGGCGCAAGCCUGAUGCAGCCAUGCCGCGUGUGUGAAGAAGGCCUUCGGGUUGUAAAGCACUUUCAGCGGGGAGGAAGGCGAUAAGGUUAAUAACCUUGUCGAUUGACGUUACCCGCAGAAGAAGCACCGGCUAACUCCGUGCCAGCAGCCGCGGUAAUACGGAGGGUGCAAGCGUUAAUCGGAAUUACUGGGCGUAAAGCGCACGCAGGCGGUCUGUCAAGUCGGAUGUGAAAUCCCCGGGCUUAACCUGGGAACUGCAUUCGAAACUGGCAGGCUAGAGUCUUGUAGAGGGGGGUAGAAUUCCAGGUGUAGCGGUGAAAUGCGUAGAGAUCUGGAGGAAUACCGGUGGCGAAGGCGGCCCCCUGGACAAAGACUGACGCUCAGGUGCGAAAGCGUGGGGAGCAAACAGGAUUAGAUACCCUGGUAGUCCACGCCGUAAACGAUGUCGAUUUGGAGGUUGUGCCCUUGAGGCGUGGCUUCCGGAGCUAACGCGUUAAAUCGACCGCCUGGGGAGUACGGCCGCAAGGUUAAAACUCAAAUGAAUUGACGGGGGCCCGCACAAGCGGUGGAGCAUGUGGUUUAAUUCGAUGCAACGCGAAGAACCUUACCUGGUCUUGACAUCCACAGAACUUUCCAGAGAUGGAUUGGUGCCUUCGGGAACUGUGAGACAGGUGCUGCAUGGCUGUCGUCAGCUCGUGUUGUGAAAUGUUGGGUUAAGUCCCGCAACGAGCGCAACCCUUAUCCUUUGUUGCCAGCGGUUAGGCCGGGAACUCAAAGGAGACUGCCAGUGAUAAACUGGAGGAAGGUGGGGAUGACGUCAAGUCAUCAUGGCCCUUACGACCAGGGCUACACACGUGCUACAAUGGCAUAUACAAAGAGAAGCGACCUCGCGAGAGCAAGCGGACCUCAUAAAGUAUGUCGUAGUCCGGAUUGGAGUCUGCAACUCGACUCCAUGAAGUCGGAAUCGCUAGUAAUCGUAGAUCAGAAUGCUACGGUGAAUACGUUCCCGGGCCUUGUACACACCGCCCGUCACACCAUGGGAGUGGGUUGCAAAAGAAGUAGGUAGCUUAACCUUCGGGAGGGCGCUUACCACUUUGUGAUUCAUGACUGGGGUGAAGUCGUAACAAGGUAACCGUAGGGGAACCUGCGGUUG